AGUACAGUGGCAGACGGGUGAGUAACACGUUAUCCCCUACCCUUGAGUGGGGAAUAACACCGCGAAAGCGGUGCUAAUACCGCAUAACAUCUUUGAGUUGCAUGACUUAGAGAUCAAAAGCGAAAGUUGCUUAAGGAGGGGUUCGCGGCUGAUUAGCUAGUUGGUGAGGUAACGGCCCACCAAGGCGACGAUCAGUAGCCGGCCUGAGAGGGCGAACGGCCACACUGGAACUGAGACACGGUCCAGACUCCUACGGGAGGCAGCAGUGGGACUCCUACGGGAGGCAGCAGUGGGACUCCUACGGGAGGCAGCAGUGGG
rnacentral:sRNA from 1 species